AACGAGCGCUGGCGGCAGGCCUAACACAUGCAAGUCGAGCGAGGACUUCGGUUCUAGCGGCGGACGGGUGAGUAACGCGUGGGAAUGUGCCCUUCUCUACGGAAUAGCCCUGGGAAACUGGGAGUAAUACCGUAUACGCCCUAUUGGGGAAAGAUUUAUCGGAGAAGGAUCAGCCCGCGUUGGAUUAGGUAGUUGGUGGGGUAAUGGCCUACCAAGCCGACGAUCCAUAGCUGGUUUGAGAGGAUGAUCAGCCACACUGGGACUGAGACACGGCCAGACUCCUACGGGAGGCAGCAGUGGGGAAUCUUAGACAAUGGGGGCAACCCUGAUCUAGCCAUGCCGCGUGAGUGAUGAAGGCCUUAGGGUUGUAAAGCUCUUUCAGCUGGGAAGAUAAUGACGGUACCAGCAGAAGAAGCCCCGGCUAACUCCGUG
rnacentral:rRNA from 1 species